UACGGGGGGGGCAAGCGUUGUUCGGAAUUACUGGGCGUAAAGGGCUCGUAGGCGGCCAACUAAGUCAGACGUGAAAUCCCUCGGCUUAACCGGGGAACUGCGUCUGAUACUGGAUGGCUUGAAUCCGGGAGAGGGAUGCGGAAUUCCAGGUGUAGCGGUGAAAUGCGUAGAUAUCGAGAGGAACACCUGCGGCGAAGGCGGGUAGCUGGGCCGACACUGACGCUGAUGCGCGAAAGCCAGGGGAGCGAACGGG
rnacentral:rRNA from 1 species